UCCAAGGGGCUCUCGGUUGGGAAUAAAAAUUAUUGAGUUAAAAUAAAAAAAGGUGGAAGAAGAAUGACAGAAGAAAAUGAUGUUCAUGAAUCUCUCUAUUGGCAUUCGUGUUUUCUUCUUCAUCUCUACUCCCCAAAACAUGUCAAAAUCCCACCAAAUCUGUCACAAUUCAUCGAAUUCGUGCCCUUCCUCUCCCCAACCGAGAGAAUGAUCUGAUGAAGAUUGCUUGUGAUCUCCAGGCCUCUAUGAGAAAUCUCCAAUCUGGAUAAUGGUUGAUUUUCUCUCAUCACUGGGCAGUUGAUUUCACAACCAUUUUCAAUUGGUGAUACCAUAAAAGUAUAGCUCUACAUAUUUGAUCCUUUAAAAUUAGGUUUUGAAUUAGAUUUUGAUAGUAAUUGGCGGCUGCAUUUAGGGCUUUACAUAGGAUGAUUCAUUUUAUGCUUCUUGGAGUCCUGAAUUUCAAAAAAAGCAGAGCAGGAUAUCCUUGUUGAGGCUGUCAACAUCAUCAAACACUCUCAGUUGAUGUGCUUUUGCUUUGAGGCAACACGUUAACAAGCAAAACACAGAACUAGAAGUUAAAAAAAAAAAUAAUAAACGAUCUGUCCCAGCCUUUGCAGAAAUUGCUCAUUAUUCAUAUGGAGAAUGAAGGUAGGCUCCGAGCACGAGCAAAGACGAAAAGCUGGAGAGUCAGCUCCGAGCCCGAAGGCAGGCUCAGAUGAGAGGCUGGACGCUAAGAGCCAUGUCAGCACAUUCAAAUCCGCGCCUCUCCAUCAGGUAUCGAGCCCCAAGUCGUUCACAAGCAACACAGGAACAAAUACGUCUCCCUAAGUCAAGCUUCUCAAGAAGAAGAAGAGAUCCUUCUUCCCAAGAAUAUUCAUGGUCUUGGGCGAGAAGAAGUUGUCCAAGUCGUCGUCAAAAAUCGUGAUUGUAUUCUCGUAUCGCUUGUGGGUUGUAAACGAUGCCCUUGGAAAUGAGUUUUUCUCAAACCACCUUAAUCUGUUGUCCAUUCUUGACAAACGUCUAUAUUUGUAUAGUAAUAUUGUUUUGUGUACAAUAGGUUGCUCAGAUCAUAAUUUUUUUUUUCCUAAUACUUGAUUGGGGUAUACAGUUUGUAAUUUUAGCUUGGUGUGGCUAUGAGGGAUUGGAUUCUGUAACGAAACUUUUCUGCUUUUUGAUUCAUUAAUAUUCAAAGUUUUGUUUCUAUAAA